GAGACUGGGAUAACACCUGGAAACAGAUGCUAAUACCGGAUAACAACACUAGACGCAUGUCUAGAGUUUAAAAGAUGGUUCUGCUAUCACUCUUGGAUGGACCUGCGGUGCAUUAGCUAGUUGGUAAGGCAACGGCUUACCAAGGCAAUGAUGCAUAGCCGAGUUGAGAGACUGAUCGGCCACAUUGGGACUGAGACACGGCCCAAACUCCUACGGGAGGCAGCAGCG
rnacentral:rRNA from 1 species